rnacentral:rRNA from 1 species
ACGGCUGAGUAACGCGUAGGAACGUACCCCAAACUGAGGGAUAAGCACCAGAAAUGGUGUCUAAUACCGCAUGUGAUCUCCGGAUUAAAGCUUCGGCGGUUUGGGAACGGCCUGCGUACGAUUAGAUAGUUGGUAGGGUAAUGGCCUACCAAGUCGACGAUCGUUAGCUGGUCUGAGAGGAUGAUCAGCCAGACUGGGACUGAGAACGGCCCAGACUCCUACGGGAGGCAGCAGUAGGGAAUUUUCCACAAUGGGCGAAAGCCUGAUGGAGCAACGCCGCGUGCAGGAUGAAUGCCUUCGGGUUGUAGACUGCCUUUAUAUGUGACGAAUAUGACGGUAGCAUAUGAAUAAGGAUCGGCUAACUCCGUGCCAGCAGCCGCGGUCAUACGGAGGAUCCAAGCGUUAUCCGGAAUUACUGGGCGUAAAGAGUUGCGUAGGUGGCACUGUGUGUCGGUAGUGAAAGCGUGUGGCUCAACCAUAUAUACAUUACCGAAACUGCAGAGCUAGAGGACGAGAGAGGUAACUGGAAUUCCUAGUGUAGGAGUGAAAUCCGUAGAUAUUAGGAGGAACACCGAUGGCGUAGGCAGGUUACUGGCUCGUUCCUGACACUAAGGCACGAAAGCGUGGGGAGCAAACGGGAUUAGAUACCCCGGUAGUCCACGCCGUAAACGAUGAAUGCUAGCUGUUAUGGGUAUCGACCCCCGUAGUAGCGAAGCUAACGCGUUAAGCAUUCCGCCUGUGGAGUACGGUCGCAAGACUAAAACAUAAAGGAAUUGACGGGGACCCGCACAAGCGGUGGAGCGUGUUGUUUAAUUCGAUGGUAAACGAAGAACCUUACCCAGGCUUGACAUCCUCGGAAUUUUGUCGAAAGACGAGAG